rnacentral:ncRNA from 1 species
UGAAAAUCCGAGCGACGCCUGGUAAAUCUCGUACUUGGUCGUACUGAUAUCCGCAGCAGGUCUCCAAGGUGAAUAGCCUCUGGCCGAUAGAAUAAUGUAGGUAAGGGAAGUCGGCAAAACGGAUCCGUAACUUCGGAACAAGGAUUGGCUCUAAGGGCUGGGCCGAUCGGGCUGAGGUUUCAAGCGUGCAGUGUAUGCUUGGCUUAGUUGUGUUGAGGACUUGUUCACUUGCCACCGGUUGUUCGGCUGGUCGAGUGUAUUCGAGUCUGAAGCAGAGCUGGCCGACAGACCG